rfam:Gossypium hirsutum cultivar TM-1 chromosome 5, whole genome shotgun sequence
AUCCCGUGAUGAGGGCAUCUACGAAGUAACUCCUUGAAUCUUUACCACACCUCGUAUAGGGACUCGUCAUCCAAUUGUUGAAAAGUGGUGAUCUCAUUCCGCAACU